rnacentral:lncRNA from 1 species
AAGAAAAAAGGUCAACAACAUCACCACAAUCACGAACCCUAAACAAACAGAGGUUGACGCUGGAUACCGAAGAACAAGAAGAGGCGAGAAAUCUACCGGAUCGGGAUAUUUUGGAGACGAAUGAAUAGGUAUACGAUCUCUUAUACUUCUUGCUUCUUCGAUCUUUGGGAGUGGAUUUCGAAAACAGGGCCACCAGUAGUACCACUGUCUUCUUU